GAUGAAGAACGCAGCGAAACGCGAUAGGUAAUGUGAAUUGCAGAAUUCCGUGAAUCAUCGAAUCUUUGAACGCACAUUGCGCCCGCCAGUAUUCUGGCGGGCAUGCCUGUUCGAGCGUCAUUACAACCCUCAGGCCCCCGGGCCUGGCGUUGGGGAUCGGCGGAGCCCCCCGUGGGCACACGCCGUCCCCCAAAUACAGUGGCGGUCCCGCCGCAGCUUCCAUCGCGUAGUAGCUAACACCUCGCGACUGGAGAGCGGCGCGGCCACGCCGUAAAACACCCAACUCUUCUGAAGUUGACCUCGAAUCAGGUAGGAAUACCCGCUGAACUUAAGCAUAUCAAUAAGCGGAGGA
rnacentral:misc_RNA from 1 species